GAAGAACGCUAGCGACAGGCUUAACACAUGCAAGUCGAGGGGCAUCAUGAGGUAGCAAUACCUUGAUGGCGACCGGCGCACGGGUGAGUAACGCGUAUGCAACCUGCCCGAUACCGGGGUAUGGCCCAUGGAAACGUGGAUUAACACCCCAUAGUACUUUUAUCCUGCCUGGGAUGGGAGUUAAAUGUUCAAGGUAUCGGAUGGGCAUGCGUCCUAUUAGUUAGUUGGCGGGGUAACAGCCCACCAAGACGAUGAUAGGUAGGGGUUCUGAGAGGAAGGUCCCCCACAUUGGAACUGAGACACGGUCCAAACUCCUACGGGUGGCAGCAGUGAGGAAUAUUGGUCAAUGGACGUAAGUCUGGACCAGCCAAGUCGCGUGAGGGAAGACUGCCCUAUGGGUUGUAAACCUCUUUUAUAAGGGAAGAAUAAGUUCUACGUGUAGAAUGAUGCCUGUACCUUAUGAAUAAGCAUCGGCUAACUCCGUGCCAGCCGCCGCCGUAA
rnacentral:rRNA from 1 species